rnacentral:rRNA from 1 species
GACGAACGCUGGCGGCGUGCUUAACACAUGCAAGUCGAACGCUGAAGACCUGGCUUUUGUUGGGUUGGAUGAGUGGCGAACGGGUGAGUAACACGUGAGUAACCUGCCCUCUUCUUUGGGAUAACGCCCGGAAACGGGUGCUAAUACUGGAUAUUCACUGAUCUUCGCAUGGGGGUUGGUGGAAAGGUUUGUUCUGGUGGGGGAUGGGCUCGCGGCCUAUCAGCUUGUUGGUGGGGUGAUGGCCUACCAAGGCUUUGACGGGUAGCCGGCCUGGGAGGGUGACCGGGCAAAUUGGGAAUGAGAUACGGGCCAGACUGCUACGGGAGGCAGCAGUGGGGAAUAUUGCACAAUGGGCGAAAGCCUGAUGCAGCGACGCCGCGUGAGGGAUGGAGGCCUUCGGGUUGUAAACCUCUUUCGCUCAUGGUCAAGCCGCAACUGUGGGUUGUGGUGAGGGUAGUGGGUAAAGAAGCGCCGGCUAACUACGUG